rnacentral:lncRNA from 1 species
CACAAACAUGCUGAUCAUACAAAUGUAAAGGUUCUUGGUGAAAGCAGAAUAAAUAGCCACUUGAAUGUGUUUCAUAUGUAACACUGGAAUGAACCCAAAUUCAACAAAACCCAUACAGGUACUGUAGUAUCAUGGUUUGAACUUGAGGUCUCUAUAGACCACUAUCUGCAACUCAAAAAGUAUCAAAUACAACAAACAAGACUGUCAUGUCACUAUGACACACUACCUGUGUGAUUAUAGCUUUGAGUGGUCACACUCAUUUACCAGUUACAUAUUUCGAUGGGCGGUGUAGUUUAGCAGCAGGCUACAGAUACUAUUUGAGAUACUGUGAGAGACAAAGGGAGAGGAGUGACCUGGUCACCAUGUCAAAUGCACCCGUGUUGAGCAGCGAGAGGAAUGACAUUCCAGGACUGAGGCUGCCAGGCGUCACCACACCCUCUCAGGGUUUCGGGCGUCUGCUCUGUUCUCAUAGGGGUGGGGUCAGGUGGCUCCCAGGUACAGCAACAGCACUCUACCUCACCGGAGCAUGUGUGUGGGCCAUCUCAGUCUUUACUCUGACACACACUGCUACAGGUGUGGCUCCCUUUUCCUGUAAAGAGACACAGAGGAAGUACGCCUAGAAGGAUCUUCAAGAGACAACCAUUAAACCUUUAAGUACUCACUGGAUUGUAUGAGCCAUCUAAAGACCAGGGGAAUUGACAUUGGAUGUCAUACAACACUUGACUGCUGAGGAACUCCACAAGUUGAAGAGGAGUAUUCUUGGAAAUGGUGACAGCAAAGCUUAAUGUUCAGAUCAGAGUCUCAGAGCCUCAAUACCAUGUCUGAGAUCUAAGACAUUGACAGUCACAGACCCUAUCUACCUGUGUUUCGUCCUCUCAGCCUUCUAUAAACCAGCCAUCAUGAAUCUGUCUCUGGACAGCUCUUAUGGAGACGUGACCAUCCCUCGGGCCAAGCUACGUUCUGCAGAGGACAGCACGAUCAUCACCAACCCCAUGGCCGUUGGAAGUACCUACAGCAACCGCAACUCUUCCCUCAACCCGUACGGUGCCUUCAAACCCAAUGGGGAGUCGCAAGGCCCCUCAGAAGUUACCAAGGAUGGGGAUGGUGACACCUCAAACCCCCCGCGCAACAACGGCCAGUCCUCCUACACAGUGAAGGAAGACAAGGAAGAGGAGGUGGGUCGCUCUCGGGCCUGCUGCCUGCGCUGCCGACGGAAGUGAACUGGCAACUUCCACCCGGAUCAGGAAACCGUCAAACAACGCCCGGCUACAAAGGUUCAGGGUAUAGGAACUAAGACAAUCAAGGGACACUGUCGGCAGACACUGUCCAACCUGGUGUUACCAGCUGGAUUAAAAGCCAAAGCCAUUACUGGUGAAACGUAUAGUUUUUGAAGGAUUCAUCAGUGGUAUCAUUUAAAUUUUAUGCAAUUUCCAAAGGGAUUCUUUUUGAGAUUGGAUGCAAGAUGCACUCACAGCCACUAUGGCAGAAUCUGCCUUUGAAACAGAAGUGUUUUACAUAAGCCUUUCACUUACGACUUUGUAUGCUUGCUUUUUUUCUUCUAGUCGACAAGACUGUCGACUAUAUUUAGCUAUGGUUUUUUUUGUUAAAUAUUUAUACCCUAAUGUCUUUAUGCCUUAUUAGUUUUUUAUCUGUCAGUGUUUGAAUGACGUCAAAAAGGCCACUUGGGUGGAUGAUGCAACUAGCCAGUGUUCAGGGAGUGGUAGAGAGUAAGACAAAUGCUACAGUACACAUGUCAAUGAAUUAAUAUGCAACAACCUUUUACUUCCUCUGUCAAACCAACCCGUCACAAAAGAUGACAUGCUAGGCCUUUUUUGAUUUGUCACGGACAGACCUGACCGAACCAGUGAGGUGGAUCUAGAGGAGGGGCAGCUAGCUCAGAGGCUAGGUUAGUUUCUAUGGGUCUUACUGAGUCCAGUCUUCCCAACCCAUACCACACCAUAACACACCCCUCCGUCCUGCUGAUCCAUCUGUUGGGCUGGUUGCUCUGCUGCUGCUGCUUUACAAUGCUGCCUUUGUGCAACUGGGUCCCAGGAAACCAGGCCACAGGCCCCCGCAGCCCCAGCUCCAACCCCAGUCAUUCUGCUCUGUGUAUGUGGUAAAACAGUACCUCACUGUCCCUCCUGACCAUAAAGAGUUGAAAGCGAGGCCUGACUGGAUGAGAAUUGAAAUGUGAUAUGGCCAUGCUCAUGCUGUCUUGUUUGUGUGAGUUACACAACCACUGUGCGUCCCGUAGUUUAGCCUUGUGAAACGAUUACUGAAACUCUACUCUGCAUUGUUCGUUUUUAGAAAUUCGAUAUAAAAAAUGUUUUUGCAAACUUGUACAGCAUAUUAGGGUCACCUCAUGAACUGGUCCCAUGUAUAAAAGCCCCUCUUAGUUCAAGCCCCUAAUCCCCCAACAGGAUGACAUGACGUGUAGGAGUUAGAACUUCAAUGGGUGAACUGGUAUUUGUUUCUCCAGACAGCAGUGGACUGCAAUGACUCAGCAAAGCUCCGUAGGUUACUAGGACCCAGUUAAAGGAAUGUAUAGCAAAGGUCGACACUAUGUAUGCUUGAUUUUGUGUAAUGAUAAAGUGGAAUAAAAUGUUUUAAAUAAAGCAUAUACGAAUGAUAAUUGGGACUGUGGUAUUAACUACACUGAACAAAAAUAUAAACACAACAUGUAAAGUGUUGGUCCCAUGUUUCAUGAGCUGAAAUAAAACAUACCAGAAAUGUUCCAUAUGUACAAAAAGCUUCUCAUUGCUCUAAAAUGUGCACAAAUUUGUUUACAUCCCUGUUAGUGAGCAUUUCUCCUUGCCAAGAUAAUCCAUCCCCCUGACAGGUGUGGCAUAUCAAGAAGCUGAUUUAAACAGCAUGAUCAUUACACAGGUGCACCUUGUGCAGGGAACAGUAAAAGGUCACUCUAAAAUGUGCAGUUUUGUCACACAACAUAGAUGCCACAGAUAUCUCACAUUUUGAUAGAGCAUGCAAUUGGCAUUCUGACUGCAGGAAUAUCCACCAGAGCUGUUGCCAUGUUAAUUUCUCUACCAUAAGUCGUUUUAGAGAAUUUGGCAGUACAUCCACCCGGCCUCGCAACCGCAGACCUCUUGUAACCACGCCAGCUGAGGACCUCCACAUCCGGCUUCUUCACCUGCGGGAUGGUCUGAGACCAGCCACCUGGACAGCUGAUGACACUAUUGGUUAGCACAACUGUAGAAUUUCUGCACAAACUGUUAGAAACCGUCUCAGGGAAGCUCCUCUGCGUGCUCGUCAUCCUCACCAAGGUCUUGACCUGACUGCUGUUAGGCGUCAUAACCGACUUCAGUGGGCAAAUGCUCAUUUUCGAUGGCCACUGGCACGCUGGAAAAGUGUGCUCUUUACGGAUGAAUCCCAGUUUCAACUGUACCAGGCAGAUGGCAGGGUGUAUGGCAUUGUGUGGGCGAGAGGUUUGCUGAUGUCAACGUUGUGAACAGGGUGCCCCAUGUUGGUGGUUGGGUUAUGGUAUGGGCAGGCUUAAGCUACGGACAACGAACACAGUUAACAUUUUAUUGAUGGCAAUUUUGAAUGCACAGAGAUACCGUGACGAUAUCCUGAGGCCCAUUGUCGUGCCAAUCAUCCACCGCCAUCACCUCAUGUUUCAGCAUGAUAAUGCAUGGCCCCAUGUCGCAAGGACCUGUACACAAUUCCAGGAAGCUGAAAAUGUCAAAGUUCUUCCAUGGCCUGUCACCCAUUUGAAAAUGUUUGGGAUCCUCGGAAUCGGCGUGUACGACAGCGUGUUCCAGUUUCCGCCAAAAGCCAGCAGCUUCGCACAGCCAUUGAAGAGGAGUGGGACAACAUUCCACAGGCCACAGUCAACAGUCUGAUCAACUCUAUGUGAAGGAGAUGUGUCCUGCAAGCAUGAGGCAAAUGGUGGUUACCAGAUACUGACUGGUUUUCUGAUCCACGCACAUACCUUUUUUUUUAAGGUAUCUGUGACCAACAGAUGCAUAUCUGUAUUCCCAGUCAUGUGAAAUCCAUAGAUUAGGGCCUAAUUCAUUUAUUUCCUUUGACUGAUUUCCUUAUAUGAACUGUAACUCAGGAACAUCUUUGAAAUUGUUGUAUGUUGUGUUUCUAUUUUUGUUCAGUAUACAUAACUGCAUUAGUAUAGGUUUUUUCAUAGGAGUUUUUAGAGCUUUUCCUGGUCAGGUAACCCAAUAGAAUUAUUGUUUGACCCAAAUAUUGGUCCUUUUCAUGAUGGUGUGUGAUUCAGUCAAACACUGACAGAUAAAAGGUUACCCCUGUCUUCUUUCUACCCAUGACGAGGUUAAGGUGUAACAGUCACAGGAUGGUGACGGCAGCGACAGAACCAGUUUAGGUUGAACUUGCUGUGCUUCUCAAAGCAGGAAGUUGAGGCUUAAUGUUUUUUCAAAAUAAUAGGUAGACAUUGUGCAGGUAGACACUUGUAAAUAAAGGCAGUGGGUAAACAUUGAAUUCCAGCCUUUUAAGCUCCUCAGAAAUAGUGAGCUACAGAUGAAUCUAUUACUUCUACUGCCAUUCAUUCACAUUAUUGGUGAUUAUAAUUAUGAUCAUUAUGUCGUACUGCACUUAUGAGGAUACUGAAAUGCACGACUUGUUGAAUUUAUGGAGUUACUACCCCAUUUUCGUUCACCCUUUACAGUAACUUUGUCACUUGUUAGCAACAGACCAUUUUACUAAUGUGUCUGUGGGAGUACAAGAAUGCAUUCCUGUCCUUAAUGGUCCUCAACUCAUUUCAGUGAGCUGUCAGAGUACCAAUAACAGGUUUGAGUGCAUUGCUCGGAAGCUUGUGUCACAGAACAAUUAAUGCACCUGUUCCAGCUCACACAUUCCAUCAGAGGUUGUGAUUCCUGAGUAAUAUGUAAGUGUUCUGGAGUAGAGUGUACUAUAUACGGCUGUAUCUACAUCCCGGUCCCGGCUAGUGGAACCGGAUAGGCCACUGGUGUGUCUGUUUUCUAUGACAUGCAUGCCUUACAAGUCUCUCCACCAAGAUACUUACUGGAAUAACUGGCCUUACCUGCUCUUUGCCCAUAGGCCCCUGCCCUCAGUCUGGUCAACAUGGAAUGUUCUGUCCUCUAUCAGUGGCGUAGCACAGUUUCGCAAGGCAAAACCUAUUUUACACAUUUUGCCAUUCAUCUGAGAGAAAAUGUUGCUGUUUUAGAGCUCAUUUCCUGCUAAUCUAGCUACACAUUUUGCCAUGAGGCUGAGAGAAAAUGUUGCAGCUGCAACGAGCUAGCUACGCCAGUGUUGUGAGAGAAAUUACAAGAUGAUGUUAUAAUGCUGUUAUUGCAUCAAAUGGUUGUUUUAUGCAACAGAAUAAUGGGUUGUUAGAACGCUCAUCUGUGUGUGUGUUCUACUGAGGAUGGGCCUCUAGAAGAUUUACGAUGUCUUUGGGUGAUACCGCAUUCCAGAACAUGAGUUAAUGUUUCUGUUCUAUAAGGUACCAGGGAGAGAUGACCCCAGGGCCAGACCCUGGUCUCUAUACAAUGAGAUACUUAUAAUUCACAGCAGACAGUAUCUUUCAUACUAAUCUUAACCUUGUGACCCAUUCCAUACAUCUGUUGUUUGUCAUGUAGCCUGAAGGGGGUGUAUCUUUGCUAUAAAAGACCUUUGUACUUUUGUCUCGGGCCUCUCAAUUCGUCGACCAGCCAUCAUUAACGUAGAGCGCUCAAUCGAUUCACUUUAUAUGUGUGUGUUGUAUUGACCUGCUCCCUUAUUAACAAGUGAAUAAAGAUUUAGUUUAAGUAUAACUGACUUGUGUGAUAAGUUUGUCUCUCCUCAUUUAAUAAUAAAGAAAUUAACCACCACAUUUGGCGACGGGGAUGGGGAUAUCGGUACCGGUGCCCCCUGUAUAUAGCCUUAUUCUUAUUGUGUUACUUUUUAUUAUAACUUUAUAUUUUAGCCUACUUGGUAAAUAUUUUCUUCUUCUUGAACUGCACUGUUGGUUAAGGGCUUGUAAGUAAGCAUU